GGCUCAAUAGCCUGGGAGCUGGGGCCAAGAGGGAGACACCAGCCAUUUCAGCACUGACUCUGGAAGCACAGAUCAUAGGGUCGUCAUCGGUCCUUAAGCCCUGUGGAAUCAGCCCAGCACCUAAGCAACCACGGUGACAGCGAGGAGGAAAUGGAUUGGCUAGCUGCCACUGUGGAAAGCAAAGAGUCCACCCUUUCACCAUCAAAACAUGACCCAGAGACAGGCAAGCGGAAGUGAGAUUUCCUCAUCUCCACUGCGCUCUCCUAUGGUCAAAACAGCUCUCAAGGUCAAGACGCUUCACCCCAGCUCUCCUACUUUCUUCUCUCGCUGCAGUGGAAUUGGAAAACCACCACCACACCUCCUUAUGCAUCAACUUUUUUCUGACAUGUAAAAGUGAUGCCUAGAAUCGCAGCAUUUAGGGCUCGAAGCCACCAUAUGGAUCCUACAGUCAAUUGGUUUCAUGUCCCAGAGGAGCAAAUGGUAACCCAGGAAGAGAGAGGGUCUUCCCCAAAACCAAGCUACUAAUUUCCUUGACCGGCUUGCAAAGGCCAAGUCUUCCACAUGGGCUAACUACCCCAGCGGACGCCUGGCCCUCGGAGCACCGCCCUGCGCACAGCUGUGGAAAUUCCUCCAUCCCGGACCACAUUCCUUGGCAAGUGUGGGAGGUGGGGAAGCUGGAAGGUGAACGUCUCUUUCCCUCUCCUAACAAGCAUACACAGGCGAAGAGUGACUUGGGAGGCCUUUAUUUCGUGCUGCCUCGUUCACAUCCACAGAGGGCCUCGCCCCUCGGACGGACAGGUGUUUGCACCACCUGAGCCCUCUUGAACCAGUCCCUGCGGCCAGAGGAAAGCUAUUGGCCAACUGGUGAGUGAGGGGGCGGGGCUUCCUCGACGGGCUAACCCCAAACGGGGCUCAGCCCUGGAGCUCUGAACAAAGGCAGGGUUUCCCAAAGGAACUUCCGGCUGCCCAUCGGCAGGGGGAGGAAGAGAAAUGGAUGCCAAAUGCAUUGAACAUCCACAGCAACCAGCCAACCCCACCUGCCUCCCCGUUACCACCGGACCCCCGGGUCCUAAAUUGGCUGUGCAAGUUCCUGGCCAGAUUACUAGUCUCUGCACACAUCUAUUGUAUCUUCGGUAGUAUAAAUUUUUUUUUAAGGCACAGAAUUGAUUUUGAGAGACCUCCAAAUGCCCUGAAACUCGUGUUACAAAAACUACUUUGAAUGGCCCUAUCCAUAUAGACCCACAGUGGUGCACAGUCUUCGAAGACCUUUUCCCAGAUUUUAAUCCUAAAUUCACUAGGGCAAAAGGGAAGGUCAGUCUCAGGUCCGAACGCUUUUUGCAGCAUUCAGAAAUGCUUCUUUCUCCUUUGAGGCAUUAACAAAGUUGGUUUGAUUCAGAAUUGCUUUUCUGGGGGGGAGUUUUGGCUGAAUUGCUCCACAAGAGGGAUGGGUCAAAAUAUAUCUGGACAACGUGUCCAGAUGAAACAAUUGUCAGACUGCCUGUGUGUCUGGGGGGUGGAAAGAAACAAAAAUGUGAAUGUUAUCAAGUUUGAGGGUUUUAAGUUUUCCAGGUUCAUAUAGUUUUGUUUUGUUUUAAUUUUCCGUAACUAAUUUGUAGAUGUGUUUCUCUCCUGGAUUUGGAAUAUUAGGGCAGAAAUAAAAAGUCACUGGAGUUUUGCUGGCAACAGAAGGGUGUAAAUAUUGAAUUGAG